rnacentral:rRNA from 1 species
UACGUAGGUGGCGACCGUUAUCCGGAGUGACUGGGUGUAAAGGGUCCGUAGGCGGGAGGACAAGUCUGACGUGAAAGCGCCUGGCUCAACUAGGCGACUGCGUUGGAAACUGCUUUUCUUGAAUCACGCAGAGGUCGGCGGAAUUCCCGGUGUAGUGGUGGAAUGCGUAGAGAUCGGGAGGAACCUCGAAAGCGAAGGCAGCCGACUGGGGGAUGAUUGACGCUGAGGGACGAAAGCGUGGGGAGCGAACAGG